GUCUCUUUAGAUAAUGGAUAGGACAGGGGACUUCUAAUCCUCUGAUGUGGGUUCAAAUCCCGCAAGAGACA
rnacentral:tRNA from 1 species